GGACACACAGGAGGAAGCCCCUCCCCCUGAAAGCACUCUGUGUGGGAAAGAUGAGAGCCAGAGCAAAGCUCAGAGGAACCAACCUGGACCUGGAUCUGAACCCAGCUGGGUGUCCUUCAGGAGUGAUGUGUCAAGAGAUUUACCAUUUAACUUCAAAGUCAUCAGUUCAGGAGUGAAACAAGUGGACCAGCAGAGCUCAGAGACUCCCAGUGGUCAGUCUGUCCAUCAGCAUCAAACAC